AACGAACGCUGGCGGCAGGCUUAGCACAUGCAAGUCGAACGCAUCGCAAGAUGAGUGGCAGACGGGUGAGUAACGCGUGGGAACAUACCCUUUUCUACGGAAUAGCUCUGGGAAACUGGAAUUAAUACCGUAUACGCCCUACGGGGGAAAGAUUUAUCGGGGAAGGAUUGGCCCGCGUUGGAUUAGCUAGUUGGUGGGGUAAAGGCAUACCAAGGCGACGAUCCAUAGCUGGUCUGCGAGGAUGAUCAGCCACAUUGGGACUGAGACACGGCCCAAACUCCUACGGGAGGCAGCAGUGAGGAAUAUUGGACAAUGGGCGCAAGCCUGAUCCAGCCAUGCCGCGUGAGUGAUGAAGGCCGUAGGGUUGUAAAGCUCUUUCACCGAUGAAGAUAAUGACGGUAGUCGGAGAAGAAGCCCCGGCUAACUUCGUGCCAGCAGCCGCCGUAA
rnacentral:rRNA from 1 species